rnacentral:rRNA from 1 species
UGAACGCUAGCUACAGGCUUAACACAUGCAAGUCGAGGGGCAGCAUGGUCUUAGCUUGCUAAGGCCGAUGGCGACCGGCGCACGGGUGAGUAACACGUAUCCAACCUGCCGUCUACUCUUGGACAGCCUUCUGAAAGGAAGAUUAAUACAAGAUGGCAUCAUGAGUCCCCAUGUUCACAUGAUUAAAGGUAUUCCGGUAGACGAUGGGGAUGCGUUCCAUUAGAUAGUAGGCGGGGUAACGGCCCACCUAGUCUUCGAUGGAUAGGGGUUCUGAGAGGAAGGUCCCCCACAUUGGAACUGAGACACGGUCCAGACUCCUACGGGAGGCAGCAGUGAGGAAUAUUGGUCAAUGGGCGCGAGCCUGAACCAGCCAAGUCGCGUGAGGGAAGAAUGGUCUAUGGCCUGUAAACCUCUUUUGCCAGGGAAGAAUAAAAGGUACGCGUACCUUCUUGCCAGUACCUGACGAAUAAGCAUCGGCUAACUCCGUGCCAGCAGCCGCGGUAAUACGGGGGAUGCGAGCGUUAUCCGGAUUUAUUGGGUUUAAAGGGCGCGUAGGCGGGACGCCAAGUCAGCGGUAAAAGACUGCAGCUAAACUGUAGCACGCCGUUGAAACUGGCGACCUCGAGACGAGACGAGGGAGGCGGAACAAGUGAAGUAGCGGUGAAAUGCUUAGAUAUCACUUGGAACCCCGAUAGCGAAGGCAGCUUCCCAGGCUCGAUCUGACGCUGAUGCGCGAGAGCGUGGGUAGCGAACAGGAUUAGAUACCCUGGUAGUCCACGCCGUAAACGAUGCUCACUGGAUCUUGGCGAUACACGGCCAGGGUUCAAGCGAAAGUAUUAAGUGAGCCACCUGGGGAGUACGUCGGCAACGAUGAAACUCAAAGGAAUUGACGGGGGCCCGCACAAGCGGAGGAACAUGUGGUUUAAUUCGAUGAUACGCGAGGAACCUUACCCGGGUUUAAAUGUAAGUUGCAUUUCUUGGAAACAGGAAUUUCCUUCGGGACCACUUACAAGGUGCUGCAUGGUUGUCGUCAGCUCGUGCCGUGAGGUGUCGGGUUAAGUCCCAUAACGAGCGCAACCCCUAUCGCCAGUUGCCAACGGUUCGGCCGGGCACUCUGUCGAGACUGCCACCGUAAGGUGCGAGGAAGGCGGGGAUGACGUCAAAUCAGCACGGCCCUUACACCCGGGGCGACACACGUGUUACAAUGGCCGGUACAGAGGGCCGCUACCAGGUGACUGGAUGCCAAUCUCUAAAGCCGGUCGUAGUUCGGACUGGAGUCUGCAACCCGACUCCACGAAGUUGGAUUCGCUAGUAAUCGCGCAUCAGCCAUGGCGCGGUGAAUACGUUCCCGGGCCUUGUACACACCGCCCGUCAGGCCAUGGAAGCCGGGAGUACCUGAAGAUCGUGACCGCGAGGAACGGGCUAGGGUAAUACCGGUAACUGGGGCUAAG